rnacentral:rRNA from 1 species
GACGAGUCCUACAGGGAGGGCAGCAGUGGGAAUAUUGCACAAUGGGGAAGCCAUCGAUGCAGCCAUGCCGCGCUGUGUGAAGAAGGCCAAUUCGGGCUUGGUUAAAGACACUUUUCAGUAGGGAGGAAGGUAGUGUAGUUAACACCUGCAUUAUUUGACGUUACCUACAGAAGAAGCACCGGCUAACUCCGUGCCAGCAGCCGCGGUAAUACGGAGGGUGCGAGCGUUAAUCGGAAUUACUGGGCGUAAAGCGCAUGCAGGCGGCCUGUUAAGUCAGAUGUGAAAGCCCGGG